GACGUUGUCGUCGGGCUGUUGAUUGAAGCUGACAGACCCCCCCCCAAAAAAAGUGUUAACAAUCUGAGUGUUUUCAGUGUUUUCCAUUGGCAAAGAAAAUACUCACUUUUGACCACCCGCAGGUUCAUGAUCACUUUCUUGUCAUUGAAGAGCCCGUCGAUGUCCACCCUGCAGCAGUACGGCCCGCUGUCGGUCCGCCGCACGUGAAGGAUGUCCAAGUCCAUCUGUCCCUCCAGGACGUCUCCUGUCAAUCGCAGAAUCGCUGACCUCAGAGAUGACGCCGUUUUCAUCCGUCUGGAUGAGGAUGUUGCUGCACCACAGGGUCCCGCAGCCGCGACCCCAGCAGACCCGACUCAAGCCAAAACGCUGCACCGAGUACUCACAGGACAGGGAAGCCACGCCCCCUUCUGUCACUCUGAAACAGGAGGCCGGAACCAAACGGCCACCUGGCCAGGCCGCAAAGUUUACCAAAAUAAUGCAUGCCAAUGAGGAGGAACACGGCGGCGAAGGUCUGAGGGGUACAAUGGCAGCGAGGCAACGCCGAGGCCAUCCUGAUGUGUGUGUGGUCAUAAAUGACGCACGCCGACACACACCGACGCACACUGGUCGCGCUUCGUGAGGGUGUGUGUGUGUGUGUGUGUGUGUGUGUG